UACAGAGGGUGCAAGCGUUGUUCGGAAUUAUUGGGCGUAAAGCGCGUGUAGGCGGCUUAGCAAGUCGGGUGUGAAAGCCCUCAGCUUAACUGAGGAAGGGCGCCCGAAACUGCCUAGCUUGAGUGUCGGAGAGGAUGGCGGAAUUCCCCAAGUAGAGGUGAAAUUCGUAGAUAUGGGGAGGAACACCGGUGGCGAAGGCGGCCAUCUGGACGAUAACUGACGCUGAGACGCGAAAAGCGUGGGUAGCAAACAGG
rnacentral:rRNA from 1 species